UUUUAGCCCUGAUAGCAACGGAAAUCCUUUUGGGUACGCGACAGCGGACCUAAAAGAUUGCAGUGAAUAGCAGGAAUAGCU
rfam:Flavobacterium sp. FPG59 Contig_408, whole genome shotgun sequence.